rnacentral:rRNA from 1 species
CCCUUAGAUGUUCUGGGCCGCACGCGCGCUACACUGACGAAUGCAACGAGCUUAUAACCUUGGCCGAAAGGUCUGGGUAAUCUCCAAAUUUCGUCGUGAUGGGGAUAGAUUAUUGCAAUUAUUAAUCUUCAACGAGGAAUGCCUAGUAAGCGCAAGUCAUCAGCUUGCGUUGAUUACGUCCCUGCCCUUUGUACACACCGCCCGUCGCUCCUACCGAUUGAGUGUUCCGGUGAAUUAUUCGGACUGCAACAGUUAUCUGUCGCGGAAAGUCUUGUGAACCUUAACACUUAGAGGAAGGAAAAGUCGUAACA